CCCUGUUUUGCAUUAGGCGUUUCACUUAUCAGCUACACUUGAGGUGUUAAGUUCUGUCACGAUAAGUUCACGCCUUAGCACCUGUUCAGCACGAUGUCACCUGUCGGGUUCCUGCUGAUUUUGGCUGUAGGUGUAGCGCAGGCUGCACUGACGGACUUGGCUAGUCUAAAGGAGCUGCUGAAUCAUGAUAAGUACACUUGCGACCCGGUAUGCGGAGAGGGGCAAUGUUGUACUCAUUACUACGCACCAAUACACGGCGGGAAGAGAGAAGUUCUCCCCGGCAACCUGCUACAACAAUCCCAGUGGCAAGGCAUGAUAAAGAGGUGCCAAUCUUUGAAACAACGAGGUGAAAAAUGUUUGACGCGCAACACUGGGGAGUGGUGCCCGUGUUCUCCUGGUCUGACGUGCAAAGCCGAUGGUACAAGCGGACUUGACGCCUUCUUCGGGAAAUGUGUGUAGAGGACAUCUGCGUUCUCAGAAGAAUGAGCGAUAUAAUCUACUAGAAUAUAUCAGAAUAAAACACUUUGACUUCAUAGAUCCAUUAA